CCGUAUCCUCGAGAGCUAUUAACUUUUACUCUUAAAGUUACUAUCAAAGUUAAUAGUUUCAAAUUAUUAAGAGUAAAAGCUAUCCUCGUCAACUUUGAGUGUAGGUAUUAGCAAAUCCUGGCUACUAUUAUCUUCUUCUUCUUCUUCUUUAUGGCGGGCUCGUUGCUAAGGACGCCUCCGUGCAAAACGUAAACAUCCGACAUGAAUUAAGUAUAUAUUUCAAAAGAAAAAUAAAGAAAAGAUGUAUAAAUGUACAACAGAAACAUAAUAAAUGGCAAACACAAGAAAAUACUGAGUUUUGUGGCAGAUAGAAGCAGCCUCAAAGGCUGUUUUUACUCCGUCACUCGUCAAUACCCGUAUCUCCCCGCCUGCGUCACGACUUGCUCUGCUGAAAUUACCGCACCAUAACCACGUCAUCUGCCCCAAUGAUCUACGGGCCGGAGAACCAGCGCAGAAAAGGAGUAAGUUUAAUUGGUCGCCAGAUGAAACGGUCUUCUUACAUCAAAUUCAAGAAAAAAUACGUAUAAUCAGAGGGUGUUAUGGGAAGAGUAUCACCCCUGAGGAUAAGAAGAGCGUGGACUGAAGUGGCAGAAGCUGUAACAAGUGCCUUCCCUGGGAGUGGACCCCGUACGCAGGAUGACUGUGAGAGGCGUUGGUACAACGUACAACAAAAAUCAAAGCCUUGCAUUGCCAAGUGCAAGAAUGAGCAGCGGCAGACUGCCACUGCUUCAUCAUCUGCUGGCCCUAUGACACCAGCCACUGUUUCAUCAUCUGCUGGCCCUAUGACACCAGCCACUGCUUCAUCAUCUGCUGGCCCAAUGACACCUGCCACUGCAAGGGAUGACAAUGAAGCUGCUCCACCAGUCACCACCUACUUCAUCGGAGUUAAGAGAUGCCUUUCAUAGGGCAGCAGUAUAAUUUUUUGAUGCUGGGGCUGAAUAUUACUGCCUCAAGGCUAUGAUUUUGUCACUUUUUUUUUUUAUUACUGAGGAGGUUAGGGUGGAAGGGGUGAAAAAUAAUUUGUGCUGUUUUUCGACAGAAAUGAUUAGCAAAUUCAUUCAAAGCACAAAAUUUACCGGAAAAAAAAUUGUGUGCCAUUGUGAGUGGGUUCACUUGAGAUUGGGCUCCAAUACGCCUCCGUGGUCUAGUGGUCAGCAUGCCUGGCUUCUACGCGGGCCCGGGUUCGAAUCCCGGCCUGGGCAGUCGGCGUGCAGCUCACCCAGCUGAUCAUCCUCCCUCUCGGGCUGGUCGAUAAAUGACUACCUGGGGAAACUGUGGUAGCCCGGAUGUCACACUGGCCCUGUGUCCCGGGGUAAUGGGCUCCCUCUCACCACAGGCUCAAGGCCCAAUGUUACGGAGAUGAGCACCGAGGCCACGCGCUGCUGUAGCGUAUGCCCCAAC